rnacentral:rRNA from 1 species
UACGAAGGGUGCAAGCGUUACUCGGAAUUACUGGGCGUAAAGCGUGCGUAGGUGGUUUGUUAAGUCUGUUGUGAAAGCCCCGGGCUCAACCUGGGAAUGGCAAUGGAUACUGGCAAGCUAGAGUGCGGUAGAGGGUAGUGGAAUUCCCGGUGUAGCGGUGAAAUGCGUAGAGAUCGGGAGGAACACCAGUGGCGAAGGCGGCUUCCUGGCCUGUUCUUGACGCUGAGGCGCGAAAGCUAGGGGAGCAAACGGG